rnacentral:rRNA from 1 species
AGAGUUUGAUCCUGGCUCAGGACGAACGCUGGCGGCGUGCCUAACACAUGCAAGUCGAGCGGGGAUGGGCUGGUCAGCUUGCUGAUUGGCUUAACCUAGCGGCGGACGGGUGAGUAACGCGUGGGUAACCUACCCCAAAGUCCGGGAUAACAGCGGGAAACCGCUGCUAAUACCGGAUGUCUUUACCUUGGGGCAUCUUGAGGUAAAGAAAGGUAACGCUUUGGGAUGGGCCCGCGUCCCAUUAGCUAGUUGGUGAGGUAACGGCUCACCAAGGCGACGAUGGGUAGCCGGCCUGAGAGGGUGGACGGCCACACUGGGACUGAGACACGGCCCAGACUCCUACGGGAGGCAGCAGUAGGGAAUAUUGCGCAAUGGACGGAAGUCUGACGCAGCGACGCCGCGUGAGCGAUGAAGGUCUUCGGAUCGUAAAGCUCUGUCCUUGGGGAAGAAGGUCUUCGGACUUGACGGUACCCAAGAAGAAAGCCCCGGCUAACUACGUGCCAGCAGCCGCGGUAAUACGUAGGGGGCGAGCGUUGUCCGGAAUUACUGGGCGUAAAGGGUGCGUAGGCGGCCCUUUAAGUCGGAUGUGAAAGCCCGCGGCUUAACCGCGGAAUGGCAUUCGAAACUGGAGGGCUUGAGUGUCGGAGAGGGUAGUGGAAUUCCCAGUGUAGCGGCGAAAUGCGUAGAUAUUGGGAGGAACACCAGUGGCGAAGGCGACUACCUGGACGAUAACUGACGCUGAGGCACGAAAGCUAGGGGAGCAAACAGGAUUAGAUACCCUGGUAGUCCUAGCCGUAAACGAUGGGUACUAGGUGUGGGUGGUUUCGAUACCAUCCGUGCCGUAGUUAACGCAUUAAGUACCCCGCCUGGGGAGUACGUGCGCAAGCAUGAAACUUAAUGAAUUGACGG